rnacentral:rRNA from 1 species
GGUUAAGCGACUAAGCGUACACGGUGGAUGCCCUGGCAGUCAGAGGCGAUGAAGGACGUGCUAAUCUGCGAUAAGCGUCGGUAAGGUGAUAUGAACCGUUAUAACCGGCGAUUUCCGAAUGGGGAAACCCAGUGUGAUUCGUCACACUAUCAUUAACUGAAUCCAUAGGUUAAUGAGGCGAACCGGGGGAACUGAAACAUCUAAGUACCCCGAGGAAAAGAAAUCAACCGAGAUUCCCCCAGUAGCGGCGAGCGAACGGGGAGCAGCCCAGAGCCUGAAUCAGUGUGUGUGUUAGUGGAAGCGUCUGGAAAGGCGCGCGAUACAGGGUGACAGCCCCGUACACAAAAAUGCACAUACUGUGAGCUCGAUGAGUAGGGCGGGACACGUGGUAUCCUGUCUGAAUAUGGGGGGACCAUCCUCCAAGGCUAAAUACUCCUGACUGACCGAUAGUGAACCAGUACCGUGAGGGAAAGGCGAAAAGAACCCCGGCGAGGGGAGUGAAAAAGAACCUGAAACCGUGUACGUACAAGCAGUGGGAGCACAGAGCAAUCUGUGUGACUGCGUACCUUUUGUAUAAUGGGUCAGCGACUUAUAUUCUGUAGCAAGGUUAACCGAAUAGGGGAGCCGAAGGGAAACCGAGUCUUAACUGGGCGUUAAGUUGCAGGGUAUAGACCCGAAACCCGGUGAUCUAGCCAUGGGCAGGUUGAAGGUUGGGUAACACUAACUGGAGGACCGAACCGACUAAUGUUGAAAAAUUAGCGGAUGACUUGUGGCUGGGGGUGAAAGGCCAAUCAAACCGGGAGAUAGCUGGUUCUCCCCGAAAGCUAUUUAGGUAGCGCCUCGUGAAUUCAUCUCCGGGGGUAGAGCACUGUUUCGGCAAGGGGGUCAUCCCGACUUACCAACCCGAUGCAAACUGCGAAUACCGGAGAAUGUUAUCACGGGAGACACACGGCGGGUGCUAACGUCCGUCGUGAAGAGGGAAACAACCCAGACCGCCAGCUAAGGUCCCAAAGUCAUGGUUAAGUGGGAAACGAUGUGGGAAGGCCCAGACAGCCAGGAUGUUGGCUUAGAAGCAGCCAUCAUUUAAAGAAAGCGUAAUAGCUCACUGGUCGAGUCGGCCUGCGCGGAAGAUGUAACGGGGCUAAACCAUGCACCGAAGCUGCGGCAGCGACGCUUAUGCGUUGUUGGGUAGGGGAGCGUUCUGUAAGCCUGUGAAGGUGUGCUGUGAGGCAUGCUGGAGGUAUCAGAAGUGCGAAUGCUGACAUAAGUAACGAUAAAGCGGGUGAAAAGCCCGCUCGCCGGAAGACCAAGGGUUCCUGUCCAACGUUAAUCGGGGCAGGGUGAGUCGACCCCUAAGGCGAGGCCGAAAGGCGUAGUCGAUGGGAAACAGGUUAAUAUUCCUGUACUUGGUGUUACUGCGAAGGGGGGACGGAGAAGGCUAUGUUGGCCGGGCGACGGUUGUCCCGGUUUAAGCGUGUAGGCUGGUUUUCCAGGCAAAUCCGGAAAAUCAAGGCUGAGGCGUGAUGACGAGGCACUACGGUGCUGAAGCAACAAAUGCCCUGCUUCCAGGAAAAGCCUCUAAGCAUCAGGUAACAUCAAAUCGUACCCCAAACCGACACAGGUGGUCAGGUAGAGAAUACCAAGGCGCUUGAGAGAACUCGGGUGAAGGAACUAGGCAAAAUGGUGCCGUAACUUCGGGAGAAGGCACGCUGAUAUGUAGGUGAAGUCCCUCGCGGAUGGAGCUGAAAUCAGUCGAAGAUACCAGCUGGCUGCAACUGUUUAUUAAAAACACAGCACUGUGCAAACACGAAAGUGGACGUAUACGGUGUGACGCCUGCCCGGUGCCGGAAGGUUAAUUGAUGGGGUUAGCGCAAGCGAAGCUCUUGAUCGAAGCCCCGGUAAACGGCGGCCGUAACUAUAACGGUCCUAAGGUAGCGAAAUUCCUUGUCGGGUAAGUUCCGACCUGCACGAAUGGCGUAAUGAUGGCCAGGCUGUCUCCACCCGAGACUCAGUGAAAUUGAACUCGCUGUGAAGAUGCAGUGUACCCGCGGCAAGACGGAAAGACCCCGUGAACCUUUACUAUAGCUUGACACUGAACAUUGAGCCUUGAUGUGUAGGAUAGGUGGGAGGCUUUGAAGUGUGGACGCCAGUCUGCAUGGAGCCGACCUUGAAAUACCACCCUUUAAUGUUUGAUGUUCUAACGUUGACCCGUAAUCCGGGUUGCGGACAGUGUCUGGUGGGUAGUUUGACUGGGGCGGUCUCCUCCUAAAGAGUAACGGAGGAGCACGAAGGUUGGCUAAUCCUGGUCGGACAUCAGGAGGUUAGUGCAAUGGCAUAAGCCAGCUUGACUGCGAGCGUGACGGCGCGAGCAGGUGCGAAAGCAGGUCAUAGUGAUCCGGUGGUUCUGAAUGGAAGGGCCAUCGCUCAACGGAUAAAAGGUACUCCGGGGAUAACAGGCUGAUACCGCCCAAGAGUUCAUAUCGACGGCGGUGUUUGGCACCUCGAUGUCGGCUCAUCACAUCCUGGGGCUGAAGUAGGUCCCAAGGGUAUGGCUGUUCGCCAUUUAAAGUGGUACGCGAGCUGGGUUUAGAACGUCGUGAGACAGUUCGGUCCCUAUCUGCCGUGGGCGCUGGAGAACUGAGGGGGGCUGCUCCUAGUACGAGAGGACCGGAGUGGACGCAUCACUGGUGUUCGGGUUGUCAUGCCAAUGGCACUGCCCGGUAGCUAAAUGCGGAAGAGAUAAGUGCUGAAAGCAUCUAAGCACGAAACUUGCCCCGAGAUGAGUUCUCCCUGACUCCUUGAGAGUCCUGAAGGAACGUUGAAGACGACGACGUUGAUAGGCCGGGUGUGUAAGCGCAGCGAUGCGUUGAGCUAACCGGUACUAAUGAACCGUGAGGCUUAACCUU